UUAUCAUGUGACACAUUUCUAGUCUUGUUUAUAUUCACGUACUGACCUAGGAUUGAGACCUGCAUAUGAUAGUCUAUAUCCAAUAUUUUAAACAAUUUCGAACUCACUACUAGAUUCUUUCUACAUAUCUAGAUCUAGACUGAUGAGAUGUAAUAUUGUUUGAAGUUACAAGAUAGAUUCAGGUGUUUGAUGUUCGAAGAAGUCAGUGGCGUUAUUACUUGAUGUUUCCUCUCACAUCACUAUAAACAUUUUGAAAAUGAUGGGAAUGUAUUUUGACACAACUGUACUGAUGAACAAUAUCCUUUUUGAAAACUGGAAUACAACUACAGCUGGAGGUGUUGUUUUAGCCUCAUUUCUGUCUUUCUUUUUCACUGCCUUGUUUGAGGGACUUAAAACUCUCAAAUCCUAUGUCCUGCUUCUUCGUAAAAGUGACCCAUUUGAUAAGGAGAGCAUAAAGAAAAGAGGACUCCAGUCAAGGGAGUCUCAGAUUGAUCUUGUGUCUCAGAACUCAAAUAACCAAACUAAAGGUCUCAAACAAUGGAGAGGAAUCAUGUUUACAGUGGAGUCAGUGUUGAAUCUUGUUAGUUUCUUCUAUGCCUACCUCCUGAUGCUCAUUGUCAUGACCUAUAGUGUGUGGCUUGUUCUAGCUGUGAUAAUUGGUGCAGGUGUUGGUUACUUUUUCUUUCACCCCAUUAGUGAAAAUUUGGUAGUGAAAUUUGCAGCAAAACCAAGUCCACCGAAGCCAGUUAGCUGUUGUUCAACUACAGCUGAUGCUAGUAAAGGCUCACAGGAACAACCUAAAGGAAAUAGUAUUGUUAUUUGACAGGAUCAGGUGCAGUAUAAGACCAAAGUAGAUCCAAUCUACAUUGUAUCAUUGUUUGAAUUUCAACUUGUUUCCCACUUUUGUAACCAUCAAAACAUGCAAGACUACUCCAGGCAUCAGUGAGAGAUUAUCAAGGAAUUAAAUAAAUAAUAUUUGGAAGAUUCUUUUUUUUCAAAGUGAAGAAUGAACAGCAACAAAGUUUUAAUUUCACAUCAUUGAAAUCCUAUUAGAUCAUUCGUACAAUUUUUAUCAUGAAUAGUUUUUUUUUU